ACUCAAAUGAAUUGACGGGGGCCCGCACAAGUGGUGGAGCAUGUGGUUUAAUUCGAUGAUACGCGAGGAACCUUACCUAGGCUAGAAUGCGCGUGACCGGCUCAGAGAUGAGCCUUUCCUUCGGGACACAAAGCAAGGUGCUGCAUGGCCGUCGUCAGCUCGUGCCGUGAGGUGUUGGGUUAAGUCCCGCAACGAGCGCAACCCCUACUGUUAGUUGCCAGCGGAUUAUGCCGGGGACUCUAAUAGGACUGCCUGCGCAAGCAGUGAGGAAGGCGGGGACGACGUCAGGUCAUCAUGGCCCUUACGCCUAGGGCUACACACGUGCUACAAUGGACGGUACAGAGGGUCGCUACACUGCGAAGUGAUGCCAAUCUCACAAAGCCGUUCUCAGUUCGGAUCGGAGUCUGCAACUCGACUCCGUGAAGCUGGAAUCACUAGUAAUCGCGUAUCAGCAAUGACGCGGUGAAUACGUUCCCGGGCCUUGUACACACCGCCCGU
rnacentral:rRNA from 1 species